AACGAACGCUGGCGGCAGGCUUAACACAUGCAAGUCGAACGCCCCGCAAGGGGAGUGGCAGACGGGUGAGUAACGCGUGGGAACAUACCCUUUUCUACGGAAUAGCUCUGGGAAACUGGAAUUAAUACCGUAUACGCCCUACGGGGGAAAGAUUUAUCGGGGAAGGAUUGGCCCGCGUUGGAUUAGCUAGUUGGUGGGGUAAAGGCCUACCAAGGCGACGAUCCAUAGCUGGUCUGAGAGGAUGAUCAGCCACAUUGGGACUGAGACACGGCCCAAACUCCUACGGGAGGCAGCAGUGGGGAAUAUUGGACAAUGGGCGCAAGCCUGAUCCAGCCAUGCCGCGUGAGUGAUGAAGGCCUUAGGGUUGUAAAGCUCUUUCACCGAUGAAGAUAAUGACGGUAGUCGGAGAAGAAGCCCCGGCUAACUUCGUGCCAGCAGCCGCCGUAACAC
rnacentral:rRNA from 1 species